GAAGGGAAUAGCUGUUCAGCAAAGCAACUUGAAAUAAUCAAACAUGAAGAGUUUUGUUGCAAAGUAUAUCAGUGUCCAUGCUGUGAUUUUGGGACUGCUGCUACCUCAGGCAAUCCCAUCAAUGUGACGGGAGUGUGGCGAAAUGAGCUGGGCUCUGUGCUUGAUAUUGAGGGGCGUCGGUUCUGAGCUCCGAGCCUUUAUCAGAGUGCAGUGGAGACUGCUCCAGGAGUCACGGGUCCAGAACAACAGGCCAAGUUACUGGUGUGACUAGUAAUCGGGUCUGCGAACCUCUGUGGCUUUUCUGUGUUAUGGGAGGCAGGUUCCUGUAGCGCUUGGGUUGGUCAGUGUUUCCAACUGCCUGAUGGGAAGCGAGUGCUGAAGACCCUGUGGAUGCUGCGCUCUGUGGCUUCAUGCCCUGCAACAACUGGAAGAGUACCAGGAUGGGAGAGGACACUUUCAUCUUCAUUUCCUGAAAGCAGAAUGUACUGAUCAUCUGGCAAUGCUGCAUUUGGUUUGCUGCCCUCUACUGAAUUUUCUUUUAUACUCCCUGAGCUGAUCUCUCAUCCAUGCCAUAAACUAUGAAAUUGUUCAAUUCCAUGAAUAAAAAUGUGUUAUUUACCUUGUCUUGCCUGACAUAAAUAAAAGUUUAAACUCA